AGUGGGGAAUAUUGGACAAUGGGGGCAACCCUGAUCCAGCCAUGCCGCGUGAAUGAUGAAGGCCUUAGGGUUGUAAAGUUCUUUUACCGAUGAAGAUAAUGACGGUAGUCGGAGAAAAAGCCCCGGCUAACUUCGUGCCAGCAGCCGCGGUAAUACGAAGGGGGCUAGCGUUGUUCGGAUUUACUGGGCGUAAAGCGUACGUAGGUGGUCUUGCAAGUCAGUGGUGAAAUCCCAGAGCUUAACUCUGGAACUGCCAUUGAAACUGCAAGGCUUGAAUCUCAGAGGGGGUGGCGGAAUUGCUAAUGUAGGGGUGAAAUCCGUAGAUAUUAGCAGGAACACCGAUGGCGAAGGCAGCCACCUGGAUGAGUAUUGACACUGAGGUACGAAAGCGUGGGGAUCAAACAGGAUUAGAUACCCUGGUAGUCCACGCUGUAAACGAUGAAUGCUAGUUGUUGGGGGGUUACCUCUCAGUGACGAAGCUAACGCAUUAAGCA
rnacentral:rRNA from 1 species